GCGAGCAGAGGGGCUGAGAGGAAGUCAGCGGAGUCUGUGUCCUGGUCCAGCCUCCAGUAAGCUUCGCACAGAGGCAGAUCGUUAGCUUCGCAUAGACUUGAGCUUUUCCACCACCAGAAACCCAGGGAGAGACAGGAGCAGGCAGAGAUGAAGCCAGGGAAGGAAAGCAAGAUAGAAGCAGUUAAGGAAACACAGACCACACCGCAGACCUGCAUCCCCCUCCUCCCCCGUGUGCGGGCCCCUCCACCAAGUAGGCUUGGCUGAGGGGGAGGCAUGGGCACUGCUCCUGCUUCCAGGCCCUCCAGGGGCUCCACAGGGACCCAUUUGGGACCAGCCACUGGCAGGCCGUGUGACCUCAGCAGGGCCCUUCUACUGACCCAUUUGUGUCCCUCCUGCCACCCCCUCCUGUCCUGGCUCUAGCUGCCUUCCUCUAGCAGGGAGCCGCCAGCCUGACCACACGCUCCAUUCUCCAGUUGCAGGAACCAGCAUGUAGAAGUGGUCUCCACAGUCCCUGCGCUUCUCAAGGCCCCUGGGGACAGAGACGCUGUCUCCUCUCUGGGUCUGGGACUCAGCCUGAAUGGGGUGGCGGUUAGGAGCAGAGGCCCUGGCGUUCUGUCCUGCAGCCCUGCACCAGCUCUGUGACCUCAAACAGGACGCCAGCGCCUUGCACUCAGGCUCCUGUCUCUAACACGGGGACGAUCUGCGGCCGCGCCACACUGAAAGCACCAGCUCUCAUCUAAUACGGGGACAACAUGGCUGGCCUCUCAGCAAGGAUGCACGUGGACAGAGCAUGGCUCGCGGAGGGCAUCGAGGGGGCUAGUGGGGCCUGCCCCGUCCCCACACGUCUCACUGGCUUCCUUCCAAAUCCUGCCUCAUGCGCCCUCCCUUGCUCCCGCCCCCAGCAUCCAGCCUCAGAACUAUCCUGGACACAGAGCAGUUUCGAGGAGUGGAAGGCGAGAGGGAGAGAAAGAGCAAAUUGUGAGCAGAAAGCGGGGGAGCGAGCUUGUGGGUAGCGGGGACGCACGUGGAGAACGAGCUGAGCGCUGGUGGCUUGGUGGGGGGGGGGCGUGCAGCAGGACAUGCCUCCUGUGUAGGGGACGAGCAGGGAGGGGCCCACAGCCGGCUGGCCCUGACUCAGCUGAGCCCCGGCCGCCACAGGCAUUUACAGACGGAGGGCCUCAGCAUCUCGAAGAUCCCAGGCUGGACUAGAAACCCCUCUAGGCCACACUGAUGGCCCAGAGCCAGGACAGGAGGAGCCUGGCUCUCAGGCGUUCCCCUGCAGCCCCCACUGCCCUCAGCCUCAAAAGGCAGGCCUAAGCUGCUCUCCUGCAGACAUUCAGUCCAUGGCCCUGGCCCAUGGGGGCCAGGGCGGGGGCAAACAAGGACAUAAGGAGCAACGUCCCCAGCAGGGUCUGAAACCCCCCCAGGGACCACUCUGGACCCCUCCCUGAAGGCUGGCAUGUAGGAAGCAUUUGCUAGGUGUCUGCUGAGCCAGUACACAUCAGAGAUGAGAGAUGGCCCCAGAACCCUCUGGAAGAGUUUGAACCACUCCAACCAAGCAGUGAUGUUUGUCCUUUCCCACGAAGGUAAAGGUGUGAGUGACUGAGGGGCGGCACUGGGACGCACACAGAGAAAUCCAGCCUCCGACCACAGACACGCUGGCUCUGGGCAUCUGUGGCUCCAGCCUGGCCACCACCGGACCGAAAGGGGCAAUGAAAAUCCAUGACAGGAAGACACAUUUGUCCAGUGAGGGCGAGGGAGUGCCAACCUGGUGUCUGCUGGACUGAGUCUUGAUUUUUCCAAGCUAACAAGGACGGAUGUGCGAGGCCUCUCCAGCCUCAGCUUCCCCGGCUCGCAGCUGCUGGUUGCGCUGGUCGAUGGCCUCGUUCACCGAUGGGAAGUCGUUGAGGAUGAGGAACUGCUUCAGGUCAGACACCAGCUUCAUCAGGGACUCGCCAGCUCGGACCUGCGGCCGCGGGGAUCGGGGGCGUGGUGAGGGACUGCCUGCCUCCCCGUGCCUGACGCUGGGACCAGCAUACCUGCCAGUUGGGGGGCACUCGUUUAGGACCUCGUGGUAUGCAUUUCCAACGUGGGUGUGGACCCAUGGAAACGCUUGGCGGCUUUGCUUGUCCUGUGGCAUGGAAAGGGAUCAAGACGCCUGUCCUGUUUCGUCUGGCCGCUUGCUUCCUGCAUUUCCAGAACCUUCACUUACAAGGAAUCUUCGUUUAUAGAGAGCCUGCACUUAGAGAGGACCUUCAGAGAGGAAGGGCUGACCUCUUUGUAACCCCUGCCCAGCACUCGACAUCGUGAUGGUACCCACUACCUGCCAGCCCCUCCCUCAGCUGCUGAGGAAAGCCCUCCCCUGGAAGGGAGUCUCCUGAGAAGCGGUUUGCCCCUCUGCCCCCCGGGAACCGCAGUAGGGACCACAGGCUUCUGGAGCCCAGACUGUCCCCUCCACCUGGCGACUCACGAUGUUGGCGGCUCUCACGUGCAUUUCGUAGUUGUCCUGCUCGCCCUGCGUGGCCCUUGACACCUGCGUCUCGUCCUCAAUCUGCGGGGCAAACGAGAAAGUCCAGCGUGGGCAGGUGCCCUGGCCCACAGGUGCCCGGUGGCGACGGCAGUGCACCCCCACUCGCCACGCUCUCUCUGCACCAGGCACCGCCCCCAGACCUCGGGCUGCGUACACCAGCACCCCCUGCCCCAUUCUAAGGGGUAACGGGCACCCUCACAGGACCAAGAUGCCCAAGUACGAAGGCUGCUGUGCCAGGUGCAAGGAGGGGUUGCCCCCAUCUUUUUAGCUUGGGCAGUCAGUGACCUGCUGAAUGGAUGAAUAAAAGGACGAUGUAUUUUUUUAAGUG